UACGUAGGGUGCAAGCGUUGUCCGGAAUUAUUGGGCGUAAAGAGCUCGUAGGCGGUUUGUCGCGUCUGCUGUGAAAACUCGGGGCUUAACUCCGGGCCUGCAUUGGGUACGGGCAGACUAGAGUGCGGUAGGGGAGACUGGAAUUCCUGGUGUAGCGGUGAAAUGCGCAGAUAUCAGGAGGAACACCGGUGGCGAAGGCGGGUCUCUGGGCCGGAACUGACGCUGAGGAGCGAAAGCGUGGGGAGCGAACAGG
rnacentral:rRNA from 1 species